ACCUACGGGGCGCAGCAGUGAGGAAUAUUGGUCAAUGGUCGGGAGACUGAACCAGCCAAGCCGCGUAAGGGAGGAAGGUACAGAGUAUCGUAAACCUCUUUUGUCAGGGAACAAAGGCGGGGACGUGUCCCCGGAUGAGUGUACCUGAAGAAAAAGCAUCGGCUAACUCCGUGCCAGCAGCCGCGGUAAUACGGAGGAUGCGAGCGUUAUCCGGAUUUAUUGGGUUUAAAGGGUGCGCAGGCGGGCUGUUAAGUCAGCGGUCAAAGCCCGGGGCUCAACACCGGCCCGCCGUUGAAACUGGCGGG
rnacentral:rRNA from 1 species